rnacentral:misc_RNA from 1 species
UCCGGUUUGGCACCGGCAGCCUCACUAGAGUGCCCAGCUUGACCUGAUGGCAACUAGGGAUAAGGGUUGCGCUCGUUGCGGGACUUAACCCAACAUCUCACGACACGAGCUGACGACAACCAUGCACCACCUGUGCACGGCCCUUACGGACCCCCCAUCUCUGGGAGAUUUCCGUGCAUGUCAAGCCUAGGUAAGGUUCUUCGCGUUGCAUCGAAUUAAGCAACAUGCUCCGCCGCUUGUGCGGGCCCCCGUCAAUUCCUUUGAGUUUUAGCCUUGCGGCCGUACUCCCCAGGCGGGGCGCUUAAUGCGUUAGCUGCGGCACGGAACUCGUGGAAUGAGCCCCACACCUAGCGCCCAACGUUUACGGCGUGGACUAC